rnacentral:rRNA from 1 species
GGUUAAGCGACUAAGCGUACACGGUGGAUGCCCUGGCAGUCAGAGGCGAUGAAGGACGUGCUAAUCUGCGAUAAGCGUCGGUAAGGUGAUAUGAACCGUUAUAACCGGCGAUUUCCGAAUGGGGAAACCCAGUGUGAUUCGUCACACUAUCAUUAACUGAAUCCAUAGGUUAAUGAGGCGAACCGGGGGAACUGAAACAUCUAAGUACCCCGAGGAAAAGAAAUCAACCGAGAUUCCCCCAGUAGCGGCGAGCGAACGGGGAGCAGCCCAGAGCCUGAAUCAGUGUGUGUGUUAGUGGAAGCGUCUGGAAAGGCGCGCGAUACAGGGUGACAGCCCCGUACACAAAAAUGCACAUACUGUGAGCUCGAUGAGUAGGGCGGGACACGUGGUAUCCUGUCUGAAUAUGGGGGGACCAUCCUCCAAGGCUAAAUACUCCUGACUGACCGAUAGUGAACCAGUACCGUGAGGGAAAGGCGAAAAGAACCCCGGCGAGGGGAGUGAAAAAGAACCUGAAACCGUGUACGUACAAGCAGUGGGAGCACGCUUAGGCGUGUGACUGCGUACCUUUUGUAUAAUGGGUCAGCGACUUAUAUUCUGUAGCAAGGUUAACCGAAUAGGGGAGCCGAAGGGAAACCGAGUCUUAACUGGGCGUUAAGUUGCAGGGUAUAGACCCGAAACCCGGUGAUCUAGCCAUGGGCAGGUUGAAGGUUGGGUAACACUAACUGGAGGACCGAACCGACUAAUGUUGAAAAAUUAGCGGAUGACUUGUGGCUGGGGGUGAAAGGCCAAUCAAACCGGGAGAUAGCUGGUUCUCCCCGAAAGCUAUUUAGGUAGCGCCUCGUGAAUUCAUCUCCGGGGGUAGAGCACUGUUUCGGCAAGGGGGUCAUCCCGACUUACCAACCCGAUGCAAACUGCGAAUACCGGAGAAUGUUAUCACGGGAGACACACGGCGGGUGCUAACGUCCGUCGUGAAGAGGGAAACAACCCAGACCGCCAGCUAAGGUCCCAAAGUCAUGGUUAAGUGGGAAACGAUGUGGGAAGGCCCAGACAGCCAGGAUGUUGGCUUAGAAGCAGCCAUCAUUUAAAGAAAGCGUAAUAGCUCACUGGUCGAGUCGGCCUGCGCGGAAGAUGUAACGGGGCUAAACCAUGCACCGAAGCUGCGGCAGCGACGCUGAUGCGUUGUUGGGUAGGGGAGCGUUCUGUAAGCCUGUGAAGGUGUGCUGUGAGGCAUGCUGGAGGUAUCAGAAGUGCGAAUGCUGACAUAAGUAACGAUAAAGCGGGUGAAAAGCCCGCUCGCCGGAAGACCAAGGGUUCCUGUCCAACGUUAAUCGGGGCAGGGUGAGUCGACCCCUAAGGCGAGGCCGAAAGGCGUAGUCGAUGGGAAACAGGUUAAUAUUCCUGUACUUGGUGUUACUGCGAAGGGGGGACGGAGAAGGCUAUGUUGGCCGGGCGACGGUUGUCCCGGUUUAAGCGUGUAGGCUGGUUUUCCAGGCAAAUCCGGAAAAUCAAGGCUGAGGCGUGAUGACGAGGCACUACGGUGCUGAAGCAACAAAUGCCCUGCUUCCAGGAAAAGCCUCUAAGCAUCAGGUAACAUCAAAUCGUACCCCAAACCGACACAGGUGGUCAGGUAGAGAAUACCAAGGCGCUUGAGAGAACUCGGGUGAAGGAACUAGGCAAAAUGGUGCCGUAACUUCGGGAGAAGGCACGCUGAUAUGUAGGUGAAGUCCCUCGCGGAUGGAGCUGAAAUCAGUCGAAGAUACCAGCUGGCUGCAACUGUUUAUUAAAAACACAGCACUGUGCAAACACGAAAGUGGACGUAUACGGUGUGACGCCUGCCCGGUGCCGGAAGGUUAAUUGAUGGGGUCAGCGCAAGCGAAGCUCUUGAUCGAAGCCCCGGUAAACGGCGGCCGUAACUAUAACGGUCCUAAGGUAGCGAAAUUCCUUGUCGGGUAAGUUCCGACCUGCACGAAUGGCGUAAUGAUGGCCAGGCUGUCUCCACCCGAGACUCAGUGAAAUUGAACUCGCUGUGAAGAUGCAGUGUACCCGCGGCAAGACGGAAAGACCCCGUGAACCUUUACUAUAGCUUGACACUGAACAUUGAGCCUUGAUGUGUAGGAUAGGUGGGAGGCUUUGAAGUGUGGACGCCAGUCUGCAUGGAGCCGACCUUGAAAUACCACCCUUUAAUGUUUGAUGUUCUAACGUUGACCCGUAAUCCGGGUUGCGGACAGUGUCUGGUGGGUAGUUUGACUGGGGCGGUCUCCUCCUAAAGAGUAACGGAGGAGCACGAAGGUUGGCUAAUCCUGGUCGGACAUCAGGAGGUUAGUGCAAUGGCAUAAGCCAGCUUGACUGCGAGCGUGACGGCGCGAGCAGGUGCGAAAGCAGGUCAUAGUGAUCCGGUGGUUCUGAAUGGAAGGGCCAUCGCUCAACGGAUAAAAGGUACUCCGGGGAUAACAGGCUGAUACCGCCCAAGAGUUCAUAUCGACGGCGGUGUUUGGCACCUCGAUGUCGGCUCAUCACAUCCUGGGGCUGAAGUAGGUCCCAAGGGUAUGGCUGUUCGCCAUUUAAAGUGGUACGCGAGCUGGGUUUAGAACGUCGUGAGACAGUUCGGUCCCUAUCUGCCGUGGGCGCUGGAGAACUGAGGGGGGCUGCUCCUAGUACGAGAGGACCGGAGUGGACGCAUCACUGGUGUUCGGGUUGUCAUGCCAAUGGCACUGCCCGGUAGCUAAAUGCGGAAGAGAUAAGUGCUGAAAGCAUCUAAGCACGAAACUUGCCCCGAGAUGAGUUCUCCCUGACUCCUUGAGAGUCCUGAAGGAACGUUGAAGACGACGACGUUGAUAGGCCGGGUGUGUAAGCGCAGCGAUGCGUUGAGCUAACCGGUACUAAUGAACCGUGAGGCUUAACCUU